AAGUCCCAAUCCCACGAUGGCCAUAGUAAAAAGGACUUCCCACACAAAAUCGCUAGGUGUUUGGUUACCAGCCAGAGUACUGAUUUGCUGUAUAAAGAUCACACUGGGUAUAGUUGUUAGAGGUAUUAAACCAUUCAUGUGCAUUAACUAGUUUUAGUUUUCAAGAGUGUUCAAAUGGCGAUUAACAUUGAGCUAGUAAACCAUUUUUUUUCUACAUUGAGUUAUUGAUUGGUGUAGGUGCAUCAAAUUUUUACACCAGUGUCAUGUGAUCCUCCCUCUAUAUUGUGCACAAAAUUACUACUAAGAGAACAAAACAAUUUAGAACGAAGUGCAUACCUGUAAUCCCCAAAAUAGAGCAUAUAUGUAUUUGAUGACCAUGUCUGUUUGUGUAGUAAGAGGUACAGCAUUGGCGUAAAUCCCGUAAGCAAAAGAACCACCGGAAGAGGAAUUCCAACACGCAAUAGCAUCUAUAUGGUUGUUCCACUGGUUUGAUGAUAGACCAGGCUGAUUGUGUCCAUUAUGGCUAUGUCCACAAUCAAUG
rnacentral:lncRNA from 1 species